GAUGAAGAACGUAGCAAAAUGCGAUAAGUAAUGUGAAUUGCAGAAUUCAGUGAAUCAUCGAAUCUUUGAACGCACAUUGCGCCCGCCAGUAUUCUGGCGGGCAUGCCUGUUCGAGCGUCAUUACACCACUCAAGCCUGGCUUGGUAUUGGGCGACGGGGUUUGUCCCCGCGCCCCCAUUUCGUCGGCUGGACGGUUGGAAUCUCAGCGUUGUGAAUCAAUUCGCUCUGAUGAAGGCCGGCCGCGCCGUUAAAAACACCAUUUCAUUCAGGUUGACCUCGGAUCGGGUAGGGAUACCCGCUGAACUUAAGCAUAUCAAUAAGCGGAGGA
rnacentral:misc_RNA from 1 species